CUUCUCUGCCGUAGCAAAAGCGUUAAGUGCCCCGCCUGGGGAGUACGGCCGCAAGGCUGAAACUCAAAGGAAUUGACGGGGGCUCGCACAAGCGGUGGAGUAUCUGGGUCAAUUCGAUGCAACGCGAAGAACCUUACCUGGGUUUGACAUGCUCGUGGUACAACCCCGAAAGGGGAAGGACUGGAGCAAUCCGGAGCGAGCACAGGUGCUGCAUGGCUGUCGUCAGCUCGUGUCGUGAGAC
rnacentral:rRNA from 1 species